rnacentral:lncRNA from 1 species
UGGCACACGAAGACAUCCCCGCUGCACUUAGCAGAGACACUGUUACAUCCACACCACACUUAGAGUCACAAUUACUUAGAGUAAUAACACUUAAAGCAAUAGCGUGUCUUUGCUGUUUCUAUUUCCACAGAGACAAACAUCUCAAGGAUCUAAUCAAAGAGCCUGGGUAAAUGUGGAAUGAAAUCAGAGCCAAAUCUUUGUAGCAGUCUUCCCCUCGGCAUCCCGAGACGUGCAGGCGUGUUUCAACUGAAGGUGAAAACUAGUUGGGCUCUAGGAAAUGUCUGGGCAGACUUCGGAGCCGAGUCGAAGAGUCACAGCACGCAGAUGAAAGGGCUCCCUCUACACCUCGGGACAGAACUGAAAAGACUGGGCUCCCAAAGAAGCGGGUUCUCUGUGCAGAUGUUCUUAUCUGGUGACAUGGACCGGGUUUACCUCCCAGCUGCAUCACUGGAAAUCCACCAAGGGAAACAUUUUGGACAAAAAGAUUCUCCAGAGCCUGGAGCACAAACUGUGUCACAAAGAUUACAGGAAAUCUUCUGCAAUGUAAUGCAAACAGAUUUUACAGGAGACCUGAAAAUUUCCAUGCCUGGUCCAGAACAGAAUCCCCCGAUGCUCAGCUAUCCCUGGCUGCUGAACCAAUCCUAA